rnacentral:rRNA from 1 species
CCCUUAGAUGUUCUGGGCCGCACGCGUGCUACACUGAGUGGAUCAGCGGGUCAGGUUGCGCGAAAGUGUUUCCUAAUCUUUAAAUCCGCUCGUGAUGGGGAUUGACGGUUGCAAUUUUCCGUCAUGAACGAGGAAUACCUUGUAAGCGCGGGUCAUCAUCCCGCGCUGAAUACGUCCCUGCCCUUUGUACACACCGCCCGUCGCUCCUACCGAUUGAGUGGUCCGGUGAGCUUUGGGAUCUGAGCGGAAAGAGCGUUUCGCUGUUUCUGCCCGGAAAACUCAGUCGAACCUUAUCAUUUAGAGGAAGGAGAAGUCGUAACA